CAGCUACUCCCUCUGUUCCGAAUUACUUGUCUUAGAUUUGUCUAGAUACGGAGGUAUCUAGCACUAAAAGGAGUCUAGAUCCAUCCGUAUCUACACAAAUCCAAGACAAGUAAUUCGGAACGGAGGGAGUAGAUG
rfam:Triticum urartu cultivar G1812 contig1111571, whole genome shotgun sequence.